AUAUUACAGCAUAUUUCAAAACAUUUAUCAGUAAAAACGGUGUGUAUUGAAGAGCUCCUUAUUAUUGCAUUGACAGAUACUUUAUACAUGCAAUCAUGUAAACACACAUAAACACAUUUGUACUGCCAUAAAUGUUGAAUUCUAUGAUGGCUACUGCCUCCCUCACAAUGAUCAGUGUAGAACAUUUCUUCCUUUGCCUGACAGCAAAAAUGGAUCUCAUCCAAAAAUAUGGUAUCUCCCACCAUGCUGAGCAGUAAAAAGGGAGAGUUUGCAAAGUUCAAACAAUGUGCUUCGGGUGAGAGCACAGCAGUUAAAGAGGCAAAAGUGUGAUGGAUUUUGUACAUUAAAAAAAUCCAUUAUAUUUCUCCGGAGGACAGGCAGAAUUUGGUCUGACUUUUUUAGGCAUUAGAGCCAGUGUGCGAAAUACCCAGUGGCAAUCGGGGGUCCCCCCUACCUAGUGCUCCAAUGUUAUGCCAAAGUCUCACAGACUCAAUAGAAAAUAUACAAGAUUUCGUGGAUGCAAGCCAAAGCAAUCAACUAGGUUAUACACACUUUGCCAACACUACAAACAUUACCAAGGCUAAUAUCGUUAACACUAAGGCCACUCACACAACUAUACAACUACACAACCACGUAAUAACUAUGCCCUUCAACAGAAUCCACAGAGCACACUCGUCUAUCUCUCUCUAACCCAACACACACACACAAACCCAGCACAUGCAUUUUUGUGUGUCGCUGUACAACUUUUGACCUUAUGCACAGCAGGUCCAUCACAAUUCAGUCACAGCAAACAUAGGCUAGAGAUCAAAAAACAUUCCUGGUAACCAAGAAGAGGAGAGACGAUGUCCUGCUUAAAUCCAGGUUCUCACGAAUGGCACUGGAUCAAAUUUAUCCAAAGAGGGUCCGUUUAGGUCCACAAACAAAAGUGAAAACAGGCUCUCUUCAUGCAACCUGUUGCAACUCUGGCUUGCUGUGUCAUUUACAGUGGAAAAUCCUCUCUCGCGCCCAGCAGACGUGGGGAGGACCACCUGGUGCUGCUGCUGGUUGCCAGAUUUCGGAUUAUCCUGCAUAACAAUGGGCCAAAGGACUGUUUGGACCGGUUCCACUCCUGAGAUGCCAGGGACUGCUCUGCCUCUUGCCCUUCAGAGACAGUGGCUCUCCUCCCCAUCGUGCACACAUGGAUGCAUGGUCACUCUGGGAUGAUGCUCCCCCUCACACAAAUUCGAACUGUUAAUUAACGUGUCCUUGUGUUUAUGGCCAUCCAGCAGCCCACAAGGGAGUCAGCGAGAUCUGUGGUUGUGUAAACACACAAAUAUUCACACACGUUGGUGUGCUCAUACAAAGCAGUUUAUACACACUUAACAGGCGUACAGUGGAUAAAACAGAUUAAUUUCAGUGAUAGUAAAAAGAAAAAAGCUAAUAAUAAAAAAGUCAAACAAAGAACAUGUCUGAGGGGAAUAAAAGUCUAAUUUCACAAUAGUGUGGGAUGAAAAAGUACAUUCAGAUAUGUGUGUGUUGCUGUGCACAUACAGGUGUGUUAUUGUGUAAAAUGAAAAAGAAGUUGGCAUAGUGCUCUUUUUCCUCACUGUUUACUAUAACAGGAGAUACACCAUGUGUCUGCAUAACCUCUCUCUUUGCAUACACUGUGACAUUUCUACAGCCUGUAGUGACACUGGUAUAUAUGGCCUUCAGGCAUCCAGACAGAAUCUUAUGAUAGUCUAAAACAACAUUUCUGAAGUGCAGGGAUCACACUGCAACUGUCAGAGUCAUGACCCAACUGGAAUAGACUGAAACCCGUGAAAUAGAACCAGCCUCUCUCCGUCUGAAACAAGAACCAAAUCUGUCACUCAAACGGCAAACAGAGACCACAGAGAGGUAAGGAGAGAGAGGGGGAAAGAGAGUGACACCAGGAUAGUGGAAAAAAAAAAAGGGUGAGAGAUGGGGAGCAACGCAGAGAGAAGACACAGAGACAGUAAACGAAUGUGAAUUUUAGAGAGGACAGUAAUACAAAAUGAGCAAGUGGCUUUGACAUCCACUGCAAGUAUGCAAAGUAGUAUUUUACAGAAGUUGUUUUGUUGAUGCUCCAUCACUGAGUUACACUGUGUUGCGUGUUUCUUUUGCAUGGAGAAACAAGGCAGCUCCACAUGGUGCAUAACUGAAAAGGCGUUUUACAUGCAGCUCUCACAGACAGAGGUAUCCUGUGUGAGCAUUAUGAAAAGCAAAAUGAGUCACUCUUCCAUAAAAUAGCCAUUUGAAAUUAUAAAUGUUUAGUUGUUUCUGUGUUAGUGGAUUGGACUGGAGUUGGUGCUGCUAGUAUUGAAAUUCAGUCCUUCCCCUUGUAAUUGUAGUAUCAAGAGGGAGCAGCUUGUGGCCAGAUGUCAUGGGCAGACACUAUUUCCCAUUUGUUAUUCACACAUGGAAUAGAAACGGCUGGAAUUAGAGGUUAAUUAUGAUAGAGAAAGUAAGGGAGGGGAAAGAGAGAAAUAGACGAAUUGGGAAGUGUCGCGGGGAAAGUUAAUUUUCAUUGCUGUUCUUACGGUGUUGUGCUGCAGCUGGUGAUGAAUGACAGAGAGCUCUCAGCUGGAGGAGGAUGGCUAAUGGAAUUGUACUGCAUCAGCCCCGAGAUUCACAAGGAGAACACACUAGGUUACUAUUAUUCUUUCUAAAUGCCAUGCCUUGUUAGGGACAUCCUGCUUCACGCGGAGUGUGCUGGAAAAACCCUUCCAAAAAGAUCUGGAUUUUAUACUGUCUGAGUUUACUCAUUUUGUUUUGAUUCGUUGUGAAAUUAGCUUAAAAGAAGACAGAGUAUCUGGCUCGCAUUGUGAUUCUGCUUCAUUUCCAGACAAAAAAUGUUGUUUUAACAGGCCAAUGAGUUUUCAUUUGGAUGGUGUAAGUCAUCUACUGCAGAUGUGUUUCACUCUGCUCUGUGAUAAUGACAAAUAUUGCACUACAUAGUGGGCAGGUGGAAGGAGGACCUGAAAAGUAUGCUGUGUGUUGAUUCAGUUUGAGGUGUAAUUCUACAUUGAUGAUGUUCAGCAGAGCAUGAGACCAGCCAAGAUGAGUGAGCCUUCAUAUAUCGCUUUCUCCUGGCUGCCUGUACUUGUAUCCUUCAAGUGUACGCUCUGCCCAAGUGAAACCCUUCAAACGACCACAGCCCCUCCCUCAGCAUGGUUUACGGUCUUAUUAAUACACCGUUGUAUUUACUGUAUUCACUGCUUGAGUGUUAAAUCAAAGCAAACAGGCAGAGUGGAUGAAGUCAUCAGAUAUAGUAGCAUUGAUUAUGCCCAUUAGAUUUCUUCCUUCCUCCCUCGCCCCCUGCUUUCCUCGUACGUCCUAGUGCUUCUUCAGUUGAAUGAGUUGUGGCCAGUGGCCGAGCAAUGAUAGACAGAUCAUUACUCUGCACUGGGUAUGCCAAAUGAGCUGCCUUUUUACAGGCGAGGGCAGAGAAAGCGGAGAAGGAGACAAAUAGAAGGAGAGAGAGCAGAAAGACAAAGAAAUUUAUCAUAAAUGUCAAAUGAAGCUAGCCUCUAAGUGUUUCACAGGCUGUCUCGGUAUUUCCCAUCCCCCACACACUGCACUAUAUUCUUUAUUCUCCAGUCUGCACCUCUAACCUCUUUAGAGGAUAUUAUGGUCCCUUGCCAUCAGGAAAGACCAUUACUGCAUCGACAAAGCUUUAUCCAUGGAGGUAUAGCUUUACUUUUCACUCUGUCUGCGUGUGCCCAUGAUAAUGUAACCAGAACCUUUGCAAUUGUGAAGGGUAAUGCCUGUAACAGCAUCAGUUCUUGUUUGCCGUAAAGGAAGCUCAAGACAGUUAGAUAGUAUCAGUGUCAAGAUAAAAUGUUCAUCUAUCAUGGUAGAGUAAUUGUUGUUUUACUUGUAGGCCUUUCAAUCCAGCCCUAUCGUCAGAUAGAACAUUGAUAUUGGACCAUUCUGCAAAACGCCAGAUUUUUUUUAUGGUAGUUUCUUUCUACUGCAUUAAUGCACGGCAACUACAGUAAAGUAUGGUUUAUGGUUAAUAUAUAGUUUAAGUAUAGUUAUUGUAUGGUUAAGCUAAAACACGUUGUUUAGGGAAGAAUCGUGUUUAUUGUAAAAGAAAAAAAGCCGACAUUAAUUGUUAGCACAUAAUGUUGACAUUGGAUGUAAAUGGUGCAGUUGUCCAAUGUGAAAAUAAUCAAUACUGUGCUGUUUUAAUCAGUAAUAUGAAUGCAGUGAUAGGGUUAGGAAAUGUCUGCACACUCAACAACUCAACAAAUAUUUUAUUCAUGUUUCGACCGACAAAAUCUUCAUCAGGCAAUCAAAUGUUUGGGAGCUUGCAAAUUUCAGUGUGUGGACAACAUCUACAUUUCCAAAAAAAAGGUAUUAUUUCACUUACUUAUUUUCUUUGCAUCUGCAUGGGUUUACAAGAAAGACAGCAAGUGUUGGUGUCUGCUGGUUAGUUGGCUGUUUGAAGUCAUACAGAUCGCACACAAUUGUGAACUAUAUUGAUAUUGUUCUUUCAUUCUCUUUCUUUCAUUUUCUUCCACUCUCUCGCUCUACAUGAAGCCAGAUUGCCCUUCAGUUGGGGUAAUGAAGCCACUCUAUCAAAGACCUGUACCUCCACCCGCUUGCCGCCCACCUCCCAGUGCCUCCUUGAUAGGACAAUAGAACACUGUUGUGGUCGAGCUACACUGCACAGCUUAAGGACAACAUUCAAUCUUUCUGUAUCCUUCAUCUUGAACUUGUUGUUUACAGUUGCUCAUAAACAGCACUGCAAAAAAUACACUCAUUACCUGUCACUGUGGACUUACACUGAUACUCUGCCACUUUAUAUUCUAUUGUCUUCACUCAUGUUGUAUUGUUCUCCACAGAAUGACCUUGAGAUCCUUCAGCCUUACUGCUCAGUCACAAUGAGGGAUCCUCUGAGGACCCCUCCUCUCUAUCACUUACUGUACCACACUAAGAACCAUAUGGACCUAGCUCCAUGGAGCAGCACUCCAACACUGAGGAGCUUUAUAGGCAUAAACGACAGCAAGACAAAUUCCUUUUCGGGGACGGAUAAAAUCUCUCUAGUCAUCCAUUUACUAUAUAGCCAAAACUACUUUUGCUCCAACUGUCUCCCUGUCCCUCCAAAUGUCUGUUUUUCUUCUCCAGAAGUGUGCUGAGUGGGGUCGUGGCAUUGGCAGUGGCAGCAUCUGCCAGCGAGGAGAGGGCCAAGGAGAGAGAGUGCCUCCUGUUUGUCUCUAAGCCCCCAACCAUAUUCUUCCUGCUAAUUAACCUGCUGACGCCUCCUUACUGUGUACAUUUUGGGGGGAGGUGGAAGGAGAGUGUGCAGCAGGUGGGGAAGAAAGGACAGCUGAGAACAUGUGAUUUGAGCUCUGAAGAUUGAGGAUUAGCUGUGCUUUCUAAUUUUCUGACCAAAUGUAUGCACACACACCUAUUUGUUUGGCUGUGCAGGGUAUCUUUUUUUUUUUUUUUACCAUUUAACAUUUUCACACAUUUGUAGCCCGUCUGUGCUGUCUGUCAGAUUACAUUUUACAACAGGUGGCUUUUCUCUCAGUCCAGCACCAACAAAGGGAACAUAGGAGAGCUUGAGAAACUAUCACAGCGAGCAAAGUGAUUCAGCUAAUUUUCAAACCUUCAGCUAAAACCAUGAGUACUUGAUCCAAUCACAUGUGACCAAGCAAGAUGGAGGUAACAUGGCAAUGGUGGUGCAGCAAGGGAGGGAGGUGCAAACCUUCCUGCUGAAACACACCGUGAGGUUAGAGAUGCAGAUGGCAAAACUGGCUGUGACUCCUCUGGCUUAAGGUUGCGAGGCUUGAAGCCAAAGAGGAGAAAAUGUACCACAGUCAAAGUGCUACCCUGUUUAGCAUUGGAGUUCAAUUUACUAUAAUAUUUUGCCAAAGGCCCAUUAGCAUCUAUUUUGACUUUUCCACUUUGUGGUUAGAGCAAGCACUUUUGUUUCUCCUUAUUAAAAUGAGUUCCUGAAGGUAAUUGCAUCCGUGUUGCAUUCAGCGUGUUGUUCAUUAGGAGAAGGAGUUAUAAAUGGGAGCUCUCACAGCGUAUGUUCACGUCAGGCUCUGUUGCUCCCUCUGCCACCAUGGGCGACACGCACAUCGCUCACUCCCUCGCAGGAACAGGCGAAUAUAUGGCUGCACCCUGCCAGCGGGAACGAAAAUGGGAAGGAGGGGGAUGGAGGGCAGAAUGAGGAAACUGAGGCAGGGAAGGCCACACAAAGACAAAAAAAUAAAGAAAUAAACAGGAUCAGAGAUGAUGUUUUAGAAGAUGAAACAAAGCAAAAAGAAAGUUUAUUUUGACUGGAGACAGGGAAAGAUGAAGAGGUGGAAUGAGGAGAAGAGGGAGGAGGUAUAUCAGAGCAGGCAGACGGGCAGGAGAAGUUUCCAGCCCUCCACCCAUCAGAGAGUUCGGCUGUUCAGAUGUUUGGUUGGCGGUAAAGUCAGACAGACAGAUUGCAGCCAAUGAUAUGUGUUGGGAAUCAUCUCAGAGAUGGGCUAAUGACAGGAGGGGAGAAGCAGGCAGAUGGCUCCCGUCAGGGAAAUAUGCGUGCAGUAUCGUCCCAGUGGUCUGGACCGAGUCUGCGUGAACAUUUGGGAUUGAAGGUAAUAAGUAAUGGUUAGUAUAUAGAGAGAAACUGAUCAGGGAAGGUGGGGACAGACUGUCCUCUGCUAGACCUCCUGCUUCAAAGGAAGAAAGGGGAAUCUGUGAGUGUAUAAUGUUAAUUGUUGUUUGUAUGUGUGCAUAUUAGUGAGACACAGAUAUGGGAUAUACCGUACUUGGAAAAUGUAAUUAAUUACACAUUACUCAUUGAAGCUAAUCCCAUUACUUUACUAAUUACUGAUCAUUAAACUUUACUUCCUCCUACUCAACCCAGUUCUGUCAAAUCAAGUCAUCACAGAAAUCCAACGCCCACAGUGAGAUUGCAGCUUCAAUAACAUACCCAGGUGAUUCCCCGAUGUACCAGUGGCACCUCCCAAAAUGUUGGAGAAUCAAAAUAUUACUGGAAUAAGCAGCUGUAAUGUAAAGGUUGAAAUUUUAAUUGUAAUCACAUUACGACCAACACCGGUAUGCAGAGGGUUCUCUCUCUCUUGCUCUCUCCCCAGUCCAUAAUGUUUGUCCUCUUUGCAUUGCUAUGGGUAUGCAUCAGAGUUGUGUGUGCUUGUCAGAAGUUUUGUCAUAAAUCCACAUUUUUAUCCAGUUUUUAAGUCACAUUUUAUGCUACACUUUUUGAUCCAAGUUGUUUUAGCUAUAUGUUUUAUUAAGGCAUAAGAUUUUACUCAUUGGAGACUUGGAUUUUAAGCUAUAUGUUUCCUGGUUGAGACAGCCUGCCAAGGCUAGUACACCCCGGCUUGUUUUUAGCAUGGGCGCUAACAUGAGACAACAGGGACUGCAGAUACCAAGUGUCAAGACCCUACCAACUGCCAACUGAAGCCUAAUUUCCACAGUGGAUCCACCUGUUGGGCCCGUAUUGCUGUGUCAGCUGUGCCCAUCUUGCUGAUAAGAUUGCAGAGUUGGAAGGAAGAAUCUCCACACUGUACCAGAUCCAGGCAGCUUUGAAGUUCAUGGACACCAUCAUUUUCAGUCCAGCAAAAACUGACACAACCUGUGCCCGAGAGCCUGUUACCACUGCUCCCUGUCCCACCGCUGAUGCUGUCCCUCCUCCAGUCAUUGCCCCUGAUUAAUCCUGAGUCCGGCUAGACCUACAGCCCCGGUCACCUCUACUCCAUCCCACCACAAGGCCUGGUCCCCGGUUGGCUUAAGUUCUAAAGUUAUAAAUGUUAUUGAUACUAUUACUCCCAUGAAGAUCAAAGUUGUCUCUGGUAAGAAAAAAGUACCAUGGAGGAAUACAAAACUGGUAAAAGCUCAAAAAAGACAGCGUAGACAGGCAGAACGCAGGUGGCAAAAAUCCAAACUCCAGAUUCAUUAUAACAUCUAUAAAGAGACACUUCGCAACUAUAACCUGGAAAUAAAAAGUGCAAGGCAGUCCUUUUUCUCAGAGAUUAGUAUUAAAGAUAACAAUAAUACACACACCUUAUUUACUGUUGUUGACAAACUGACCAACCCCUCAGCAUCAGUCCCUCCUGAACUGCUAUCCACCAACUCAUGCAAUGACUUUACAUCUUUUUCUACAAAAUUCUGAGGAUAAAGCAAACAGUCUGUAACUCCAUCUCGGGCAAAAUGGCUAUGUUGCCUGUACUCCAGCAUAAAACCACUCUACUUAAUUUGGCACAUUUAGCCCCCCUAGUUAUGUAACCCUGACAGAAAUUGUCCAACACUGACCUACUACCUGCUGACUUGACACUCUGCCUACAAGCUUUUUAAAAAUGUUUUUAACUGCAUAGCACCAGAGAUACCACAAAUAGUCGAUAGCUCUCUUCACUCAGGCGUGCUGUCAAGUGCCCUGAUGACUGCAGUUAUUAAACCACCUUUAAAAAAACCUAAUCUGGUUACCUCAUUGAUAAAUAACUACAGGCCCAUAUCAAAGCUACCUUUUUUGGGAAAGAUCAUUGAGAAGGUUGUUUUCAGCAACUCAACACUUUCUUGGUGCAAAAUAAUUUCUUCAUUGUUUUUCAGUCUGGAUUUAAACCACACCACAGCACCGAGACUGCACUUGUGAAAGUCCUAAAUGAAAUUCAUCUGAGCAGUGAUGCAUGAAAAAUUUCAGUUUUAGUGUUACUUGAUCUCAAUGCAGCAUUCAACACAGUUGACCAUAAGAUGCUGCUCGACAGACUGGAGAUGUGGAUGGGAUGGGCACUGGGCUAAAUUGGUUCAAAUGAAAUUUACAAGAUAGGGACCACUUUGUAAUCGAUUGUCAAUUAUGAAUCUGAGCGAACAACAAUCACAUGCAAAGUUCCUAAAGAGUCCAUUCUUUUUUAUUCAAUAUCUACACGCUCCCCCAUGCUCAGAUUAUAAAUCAUUAUAACAUCUUCUACUAUUCUUAUGCAGAUGAAACACAACUCUACAUAACAGCGUCACCUGCAGUCAUGUCCCUUACAUUUGCUGAAUAAGUGCAUUUAACAAGUCAAUGGGUGGAUGUGCCAGAAUUUUCUACAACCGAACUCAGAAAAAAACUGAAAUAAUUGUUUUUGGCUGCAAUCAAGACAGAUUAAAAGUCAGUGCUCACCUCAACUCCAUGAUAUUAAAAUCUACAAAUCAAGCUAGAAAUCUUGGUGUAGUUAUGGAUUCGGACCUAAAUUACAACAGCCAAAUCAGCCCACUACCACCUUAAAAAACAUAGCAAGAAUUAAAGGAUUUUUAUCUAAACAAGAUACAGAAAAACUAGUUCAUGCAUUUAUUUUCAGCAGGCUAGACUACUGUGACGAUGUCUUCACAGGUCCCAGCAAAAAAUCAGUCAGACAGCUGCAGCUCAUCCAGAAUGCUGCUGCCAGAGUACUUACUAACACCUAGAAAAUGGAGGACAUUACACCGGUCCUUAAAUCACUGCACUUACUACAAGUCUAUAAAGCACUAAAUGGUCUUUGGCCCAAAUACAUUUCUGAUUUGCUUGUACAUUAUGAAGCCCCCAGACCACUCUGGUCCUCUGUGACAGGUUUACUCAGUGCUCCCAGGAUCAAAACAAGUAAGGUGAGGCAGCUUUUAGUUUCUAUGCUCCCCACCUGUGGAACAAGCUUCCUGAAUACCUGAGGUCUGCUAAAACUGUCAGCUCAUUUAAAUCAGGGCUUAAAACAUUAUUGUUUGCCGCAGCUUUCCAAUAACUUAAAUGUGUAACUUCUUUUUAAUCUUUA